rnacentral:piRNA from 1 species
UAGGAGAAAACCACAAUGGCUACAUUCCCU